UUCAACAGAAAAUUAAAUGAUGAAAGGCCUAAAUAUACUUGAAUUUACAAUGUGACAGUGAAAGAAUGAAACAUUAACCUGUUUUUUUUUUUUUUUUUAGCAUGCAUCUCUUAAUCAUUUCUUAGGGGUACAGACAACUGAGAACUGCCACCACUUGGAGCAGGUAAUCCCACCAAGUCCGGGCCAAAGUAAUGAGGAUUACAGACUUUCACUUUUUAGAUAUAUUGUUCUAUCAGAGACUAAUCCGCUUGGUCAUAUAACCUCACCCUCACCUUUAGCUAAUAUUUAAAUAUGGCUGACAUUGCCAGCCUGAAGUCUCUCCUUGCAACACAUACUAUAGACAUUAAUUUAUGGACAAAAGCACAUGAGCAGGAUAGCCAAGUAUCCAGUGAACAGCUGAUGUCCACACUAUAGAGAUCAAAACAUUUUAAAGCCUCCGAUGGGAAGUGAAUUUUGUAUUAAGAAGAACUUGAUACCCAAAAGACUGACAAUACAAAAGAAACAUUUUUGCAGCAGUAUUGAAAUGAAUCUGAUGACCAAAUGGAAGGAAGGACCCAGAAACUUUUAAAAUUCUAUUUGAACACAAAAAAAAAAUUACAAUGGAACUCCAUGGAGGAAGUCAUGCACCUAGAAGAAGCCUGCAGCCACAUAGACAACAAAAUCGAACAAUGCCAAGGGAUUACCAACACAACAGAGGAACUUGAAGCAAAGAUCUAGCUGAAAAGAACAAACAAAAUGAAGAGAGAUUUGGAAGAUGAAAAACACUUGAUAGGAAGUUAUGGGCCUAAUGGAUUUCAGCUCACAAGAGAAUUAUCCUAUAAACAAGAUCACAAUAACCAGAAUGCAGCCAUCCAGGCACAAGAAAUACAACAAGUCUCAGCUAUUUAUGUGCCCCACUCCCUCUAUCAAGACCAGGAAAUAAGACACAGACAAACCCUACCUACACACCAACUGUAACAGGAACAGGAUUCUCCCAUGGCUCUCCCCUCUCAUAGCCCAGAAGUAACCUCAGCUAUUACUGCCUCAAAAAAUCCUAUGACUCACAAAAACAAGAACACUCCCAAAGGACACAGCAAUCAUAGCAUGCUGCAGAAUCAUGGCAAACUAGGAUACUAGAAUCCCCAAGAAGCAACUCUCAACAGAAAGACAGAACAUUGCAAGGCAAAAGGGACUUGAAACACCUUUGGAUUCCUCCAGCUGGCAACAUGACACACCAGGAUGACAGAAUAGAAAUAACUACCACAAAUUAAUAUCAUCUGGAACCAUUCAGUUAAACCACUAUAAGAGACAGAAAUCAGCAUACUGGAGAAAGAACUCAACUUUAUACUCCCAGAAAAGGAGCAACCUCACCCAAACUAUCAUCAAUCGGAUGCUAUACAACAGAAAAUAGAACCUUAAAACUCACGUCCACAAUAGACCAACAUACUGCACCUCUAAUACCAUGCUUCCAGUAUGUAAAUGGAAAAAAUGUCAUUUUACCCCCUUAUUGCACACCACCAUUAGCGAAUUUGAAAAUCACCAAAAAGUGCAUAUCAGAGGAAUCCUCCAAGAAAAUACCAAGAGAAAAUUUUACAACAUCUACAAGAAAGAACAUAAAGCACUGAUGAUUCUAAUCAAAGACAAAACCAGGCGAAUUAUGAAAGUGGAUAAAGGAGGUGGGAUCCUAGUAACAGACACCAUGGCCUACAAACAAAAACUGUGCAAUGCUAAAUAACCCCAUCGUUUACGAGACCAGUGACUACAGCAAAAUCAAACUCAACUAUGAAGAACUACUCAGUGAAAUCACUAACCUACACAAAGAAGGCUUGAUCAGCAACAAUCUGCUUGAUUUUCUCACUGUUGAACACUCAAGGCUACCAAUGUUUUUUCUAAAUCCCAAACCACACAAGAAUAGGUUGGAUCUACCUUACAGACUUGUAAUCGCAAGUAGAGGCAGCAUCACUGAACCUAUGUCAGUCUACCUUGAGGUGCAAAUCAAACCUCUAGCCAAAAACAAUAAAUCAUUUAUACGUGACACUUCAGAUCUUAUUUUGACAAUUUGAAACCUCACUGUGGAUGAAAAUGCCUGGCUGGUCACUAUUAACAUACAAGCCCUGUACACUGUUCUACCCCACAAUUAUUGCAUUAGAGCCAUCCUAGAAGCUUACUAAAAAGAGUAGGAAGCCCCCCCAGAAGAACUCAAGGCCAUUAGCAGACUGCUGCAACUACUUCUUAUCAAUAACUACUUCAAAUUUGAUAACCACUUCUUUUGCUAAACUAGAGGUAUAGCAAUGGGUGCAGUUAUGGCCCCGAGUUUGGCCAACACAGCAAUUGGAAAAAGGGAAGAAGAGACCAUCCACACUUCACAAUAUUACCAACACAUGUUUGUUACUAUAGAUUGAUUGAAGACAUCCUGGUCUAUUGGAACAGCAACCUCCAAAAACUUGAAGAAUUCUAUGAUUACAUAAAUAAAUCCACCAACUUCCUAAAAUUUGCAACCUCCCACUGACAGACCUCAAUCAACUUUUUGGACCUUACCAUCAUCAAAUCCCCAACAGGUGAAUUACUUUUGAAUGAUCUUUUCUGAAAACCCACCAGAGUAAAUCUUCUGUUCCACAGAAACAGCAUGCACCCUUUUAGAACUAAAAAAAAAAUCAUCAAAUCCCAAGGCCAAAGGAUAGCCAGAGUCACCAGGGAUCUUUCCACUUUCACAAAAAAAAAUUGUCCAGUUAGAAAAAGACUUUCUAGCCAGGGGAUACAACAACUGACUAAUCCUUCAAACAUUUAAUCCCAUCAUCCAGAGCAAACACAACUCUGACUUCUUGAUGAAUGGAAACAAUCCAUCACACUAUAUCAAAAGAGUCAUUCAACAGAAAGAUAAUGACAAAUGGAACACUCACAUAAAAAAGGCAUAAUGGACAACUGGUGCUUAGUCAUUGAGAACAACAUCCUAAAUGACAUAUUCCCACCCAAACUAGCAUUCACCAUCCAGAGGAACAACAAUAUUCAUGACUACAUUGAUCAAUGCAACCACCUCGGUACAACAUUUAAAAAACAACAACCCCCAGGGACCUUCCCAUGUGGCCCACUGAGCUACAACUAUUGUAAAUUCAUGGAUGGAAAAGCCUUCUUCUACUGCCCAUACAACAAGAAAACCUUUUAGAUCAAUGUUUAUGGCAACUGCUGUACGGACAAAGUCAUAUAAAGCGCUCAAUAUCACAAAUGCAAAGUUUUCUAUGUAGGAAAACUAUAAACAAAUUGAAAACCAGGAUCACACAACACCUCUCUGAUACACGCCAUGGAACCAUCUUCAACAUCAAGGCCAAACAUGCCAGCGACAACCUUGGACAACCAUGUUUAACUUUCUCAUCAUCGACAAGAUGACUGAUCAACCGUUUCAGGGUGACAUCAAUGAAAAACUGGAAAAAAGGAAACAUGAAUGGCAUAUUUGACUUAUGGCAAACAAGCCCCAGGACUUAACUGCACAGUGUCCAUCACUGCAUACUUAACCUUAAGAGACUCAACCACUACAAUUUCUACUGAUCUGGGACUUUCAUUGUUAAAGGCUGUAAAUGUUUUUUUUUCUUUUCUGCAUGUUGCUCUGCUGUUGUUUCAUUUUCUCACAUGUUUAUGAGCAACUAUACAGCUUUUGUUUCUAUUAUUUUUUUGUUUCAUACCAAAUAGCCAUCUGGCACUAUUUACAGCUGGUUCAAACUCCCCCACCACUCUUGCCACUUUAAUGUUUGUAAUAUAAUUCACACUUUAAACCUUCACUCAUUAACAUACCCCUCCUCAUAUUUGUUACUUAUUCACUAAGGCCUUUUUAAUUCUGCUUUCAGACAAAAUAUAAUUCAUGACAUUGUAGAUAUACUAGAUUACUAACUAAAAUCUUUAUCCUCUAAAGACAUUUCGCACAAAAAAAAAAAAACAGAUGGCAGUUCUCAGUUCUACAUCAUGGUGCAUUAUUUUCCCUUAUUGAAUUAAGUACCUUUUCCCCCUAUAGCCAUCCCAUUCCCUUUUUCCAAAGGUGGUUCUGUCCCUGUUACAUAACCACCACCUGCAUGUUCCAUGGGACAAGCUAUUACAGUAUUUAAAUGGUUGGAGGUUUUUAAUUUAUUUAUUUAGGUUGUGGCAAUGCAGACUUGGUAUAGCUAUAAACCUCAUUGUAUACAAGACGGAAUCUCCAAACAUCAGCCUUACCCUUCCACCAUCAUUAUUUUGCAACCACGUGGUCCCACUCUUUUAAACAUUUCCCUUUAAUAUAAUGGUGGAUUUUCAAACAAAACACAGUUAACAACAUUGAAGAUAUGAUGCAUUACUAACUCAUAUAUCUUUAUCCCCAUGACACUUAAGAUGGACAUUCUGCACAGAAACAUAUGGCAAUACUUGUUUCAAUGGUAUGGCACAGUCUUUUCCUUGAGUAUUUUAUGUACUCACUUUUUAUUGUUGCAGCCAUCCCAGUCCAUUACUUUCAUUAAGAUAGUUCUUUCCCCUUUUAACCCCCACCCCCAAAAUGUCCCACAGGGCUAACAAACUUACUUACUUAGACUUAAAUCCUCCCAUGUUACAUAGCAUAUCAGGUAACAAGCAUUCUCCAUCAUUUCCAGUCCUUGGCAGAGAUCUCAGCUUCUUCCCAACUGAUGUUCAGCACCUUUAGGUCUUGUAUGAAUGUUCUUCUCCAAGUGUUCCUUGGGCAUCCUCUUGGUUGUUUGGCAUUGGGAGGUACCCAUGCCAUUGGCAUCUUCAGGAUCUGAUAGUUCUCUACUCAAAGGACAUGGCCGGCCAGUCAAAGUCUUCUGAGAGUGACCAUGUUGUGGAGUUUGCAAGAGCUACUUCUUCAUAGAACCUCUUCAUUUGUGAUAUGAUUGGAGUAUAAGAUCUUGAGAAUUCUGCAUAGGCACCUCUGCUAAAAAAAUCAUGUUUCUUGUUAAUACUUGCUGACAUCUUCCAGGUUUCCCUAGCAUAAAUGGCUGUAGGGAUUGCGAUUGAGGUAAGUAGGUGGAACCUGAUCUUCAGGGAGCUGGAUGACAACAACCAGGUCUUCUUCAUCCUCCUGAAGACUGCUAUUGCCUUGCUGAUGCAGAACUUGACAUCUGCUUCCACAUCUCUGUCUUUGGUGAUCACACUACCCAAGUAGGUGAAUCUAUCAACUUCCUUCAGUUACUUAAGUCAGAUCAUUACUCGCCUCACUUGGGCUGCUGCAUGUAUCUUCAUGAUCUUUGACUUAUCAGUGCUGAUCCUGAGGCCAGUCUUAGUGGCUUCUCAGCUGAGGUUGGUCGUCGCUUCCUGCAGGUUCAUCUCAUCCUGUUUGAGAAAGGCAAUAUCAUCAGAGAAGUCCAGGUCACAGAGGUGAUCUUGAUCAUUCCAGUGGAUACCGGCUCCAAAGCUUGUCCCUGCUUGUCACAUGACAUAGUUAAGAGCAAUGAGGAAGAAGAGCAAGGACAGGAUAAAGCCUUAUCUGACCCCAGUUGUAAUCUCAAAGAACUCCACAUGGCCAUUUUCAGUUUUGACGCAGAAGCUUGAUCGCAAGUACAGAUCUUUGAAGAUGGUAAUGAAGUCUAUUGGUAUGCCAUAGGAACACAGGAUCUGCCAGAGGGACUCUUGAUGGAUGCUGUCAGAAGCUUUCUCAGAAUCAACACAGUUGAUGGCCAGUGAUUUUCACAACUCGACACAUUGUUGUAUGAUGUUCCGGAUGGUGAAGAUUUGUUCGCUGCAUGAUCUUCCACCGUGGAAUCCUGUUUGUUCUUCUAUCGGGCGUUGGUCUAUGGCAUUCUGAAAUCGCUGGAGUAGGACAACACAAAAUGCUUUCCCAGGCACUGAGAGCAGGGUGAUGCCUCACCAAUUGUUGCAUUCAGACGUGUUGCCUUUCUUCUGAAUCAUGACUAUGGCACCUCUCCACCAUUUUUCUCAAAUUAGUCCAGUUUGCUAGCACUUAUGGCCUGACCACCGAUUUUCAUAAACUUAGUGGGUAUUUCAUCCAAGCUGGCUGCCGUGUUAUUUUUGAGGCUUCUGAUCAUGAUGUUUACUUUCUAGAUGUUGAUCGCACCAGUGAUCACUUGUAAAUCCUCCUGAGCCUCAUCCAUCACAAAGUCAUAGGUAGUGUUUGGGUCUGGUCGAGUUAAGGUUUCCCGGAAGAAUACACCUUCCAUUCUGCUCAUCUUUGGUGGUCAGAAGCUUCCUACUUUUAUAUUAGAUUGGGACAUUGGAAUUGUUUUUUACUCCAGUCAACUCAUUGACAAUGUGGUAAAUAGUUUUGGUGUCAUUAUGGUCAGCGGCCUCCUACACUUCAUUUCCCUUUUGCUCCAGCCAUUCCUUCUUAUCUUUCUAACAGCUCUUCUUCAUGAGUUGAUCCAGAUCUUCAAAUUUUUGCCUUUUCUCUUCUCAGCUGUUCAUGUCUGUGGUCUGGUCACUUUUCAUUUUUGUGAUUUUUGUCUUGUAAAUCAGUUUCCAUGUCUGGUCUUGGAUCCAUUUCUCUUUCUGUAGUCCUCAGCAUCUUCUGAUGGCAUCUUGGGCAUACUCUCUGAUGGCAUCUUUGAUGUAAGCCCAGUGGUCUUCAUUGUUCAUCACCUCUCUAAGGAAGUUGAAGCAGUUCUGUAGUUCCCAUGUGAAGGAAUUGGCAGUGGCAAGGUCUUUGAGCUUCUACAUUGCAAAUAGUCGCUUUAGUGUAGGCUGUCUUUGGUUUUGAAGUUUGAGUUUAAUCCUCACCCUGACUAGGUAAUGGUCUGAGCCAAUGUCUGUGUUCCUGAAGACCCUUGCAUCUUGCAAGGAUGACCUCCACUUCUGGCUGAUACAGAGUUAGUCAAUCUCAUUGAAGAUUCACCCAUCUGGUGACAACCAAGUGUUCUUGUGGAUUUGCUGGUGUUGAAAGUAUGUGUUGCAAACACAAAGCCCAUUGUGUUUGCAAAAGGAUACCAGCCAUUCGCCAUUGUUGCUGAGGUGUUCUGAUGACAUGUGGGCUCUCUCUGAUCAUGCCUUCAAAUCCAUGUCAAUCACCUCCCCAUUGGGCGUUGAAGUCUCCAAUCAAGAUCUUCAUGUUGUGGUUUGGGAUGCAGUCAAAGACAAUUUUGAACUGUUCAUAGAAGUAAUCCUUUGUUGCAUCCUCUGUGUUCUACAAUGGCACAUAUACUUGUACGACUGUUGUUUUGGUGUGUCUGCAUAUGAUACAGGCUGUCAUAAUCCGAUUGUUGACAGGUUUCCAACUGACUAGUGCUCUCUUUGCACAUUUACCCAAGAUCAGACCAAAGCCCCAUUUAUGCCUUUCCUCAUGUCUUGCAUACAAGAUGGUCUUGCCAUCCCUGGUGAUUCAUGUAUUUCCUGUCUAUCUGGUUUCAUUAAUGCCCAGAAUGUCCAGUCAAUAAUUAUCAAAUUCUUGCGGUAAUUGAGUGAGUCGUCCAGUUUGAUACAAUGAGUGCACAUUCUGCGUUCCAAUUUUCGUGAUGUUCUUGGAGGAGAAGAUUGCCUUCGACUUCAGGCACCAGACACAAAUAUACAAUGUGUCAUUUUGCUCUUUGACAUUAUGUGGUUCAAAAAUGAUCCCUCCAGUUAACUAAAAAUUGUUGAGAUUCUACUUAUUAUUCCCAUAGUGGUUACGUUUUUUUAUGAGGUCGGUUCGCUAGCCCAACGCUCAACCUUCCUCCUUUCUCAUCCAGGCUUGGGACAUCUUGAAUGUAAUAUAUGUGGUAAGGCUAUACAGACUUUGGUAAAACUAUAAACCACAUUACAUACAAAGACAGAAUCUCCACAUAUUAUCCUUACCCUGGCUUCAUUGUGUUUUUGUAACCACGUGAUCCAUCUCUUCUUUUUUAUAUUGAUAGAUUCUCAAUAGCCAUCCUGGUAUUAGACAAAUCCUCCACAGCAUUUUUUUCAGUUUUCAUUUUGGUUUUAAACAAGAUGCUCCAUUUGGGGGCCUCUAUAGACUGUUCUAUAAACUCACCUUUGAUAAAAUUGAACCUCUACUCACAAUUGUUAUAAACAUGAACGCUUAUAAUCUUGUCCCACUAACUUCAUAUAUGGCUUAUAUUUUCCAGAGUUAACAUAUUAAGUAGUAGAGUUUACCCAUGUUAACCUGUCUAACCUUCACCACUAACAUCUGCUAAAGCUCCCAGUACUAUGCAGUUACAUGGGGAAGUGGGCACUUCAUUCCACCUUUGUUCUUUAAUACAGUAACUAACUAACCAUAACUAGCAGGCAGAUCUGAAGAAACAUAUUAGUGAAAACGUAAGGAGAAAGAGCUGGGAAAUUUUGACUACCCCAUCAAGUUAAUUUUAAAAACAUUAGUUAGGACUUUUGAGUUAAACAUAUGUCCCUAAAGCCAUUUUUAACAUGGAAGCCAUGUGACCCAUGUGAGAACACAGAACCUCGUUAUACAGACGUUCUUCUUUUUCCUACAUAAAAAGACACACAGUACUGGAUAUAAUAAUAAUAAUAAUAAUAAUAAUAAUAAUAAUAAUAAUAAUAAUAAUAUCACUAAUAACAAAUAUACUGUUAAACCUUAAAUUUAGACAUGCAUAUCAAAUUACUAGGGACCUCUUUGAACUAGACUUUAUAUUUCUGGUCCUAUCUCUUUAUUCCAUAACCAAUGACCUGAGCAUGUUAUCCAUGGGCCUUUUAAUUGUUUAUUGUUGUUUUUUAAUGGGAUCUGGGAAAUAAAGUUAAAUAAAAUAAAUCAUGUAAAAAUGAAUUCUAACACAAUGCCAGACAUGAUGCCUUGAAUAAGAAUAUUGAUUUAUGGAUAAUGUCAGUUAUGUAACUACGCCCACUAUGAUGUCAUAACUGUUGCUAAACACGCCUCUAAACACUUGUAUAAAAAAAAACUACACUGACCUUUGAAUUUAUUGUAACUUGAGCUAUGUUUAUCUGUCUGAAAUUCCAACUUGAAUAAAAAGUUUAACCACAA